CAGCUGCCGGUAGGCGGCGAUACAACCUUAUGCUUGCGCCGUCGCGGCAGCAGCUCGCAUCCCCUUAAGUGCAGGCAAAUUUGCACUUUUUUCUUAAAUACCAGGCAAUCAACUGUGGCAAGUGUUACACUGAGCGACGUCGACUUCAACAUGCGAUACUUCUGCAAACUUUCAGCAAGAACAGUGCAGCGGUUAAUACAUCACAACUCAGGGCUGUCAAAGGAAAUUGGGAGGCUUGCGCGCGACUAGGAGCGGCAGCAGCGGCGAGGAAAUGAAAAAAAGAAAUGGAAACGGUGACGCAGGAGUACGGCAGAGAACAAUGGGCCUUGCAAUUCGACCGCGUGUGUUUUCUUUGCCCCCAAGUGGAGCACUCGCACAGCCUUUCUGCAGCUUCCGCUCUUACGUAAAGCCAGCAAGCGCCUUGCGAGGUGUGCUCGAAUGCAUCGACUCAUUGAAACACAACGUAUAUUGAUUCUAACUCUGGUAUAAUGCAAGUGAUCGCAUGUUUUUUUUUCUCCCAAAUAAAUCAAUAAGGAACCAUAUAAUAACUAAUUGAAUUAUGUCGCUCUUAAGGUAUUUCUUACCUACACAUACAUGAUAAUGUAAGACCGCAUCAUACUCAGCGGUUUCAUUAUUGAGGUGUGACACUUCGGUUGUUGCAAAAACGAAGUUGUUAAUAGGGACUCGCCAAACUAGAAAACAGUUUCCAAAAAAGAGAAUAUCUGCUCAAAAGUUGGAACCAGAAGCCGCGGCUUUUAAUACAAAGAAUUAUUCGGCUCUUCGCCCGGAUCCCACACCCCUGUAUGCUCUGAGGCAUUAACCCUCGAAUUA